rnacentral:rRNA from 1 species
UGGCGGCGCGCCUAACACAUGCAAGUCGAACGAGAAAGUGGAGCAAUCCAUGAGUACAGUGGCGUACGGGUGAGUAACACGUGGGUAAUCUACCUCUUAGUGUGGAAUAACCCUGGGAAACCGGGGCUAAUACCGCAUAAGCUCGAGAGAGGAAAGCAGCAAUGCGCUGAGAGAGGAGCCCGCGGCCGAUUAGCUAGUUGGCAGGGUAAAGGCCUACCAAGGCAAAGAUCGGUAGCCGGCCUGAGAGGGCACACGGCCACACUGGCACUGAAACACGGGCCAGACUCCUACGGGAGGCAGCAGUGGGGAAUCUUGCACAAUGGGGGAAACCCUGAUGCAGCGACGCCGCGUGAGCGAUGAAGCCCUUCGGGGUGUAAAGCUCUUUCGGCAGGGAAGAUUAUGACGGUACCUGCAGAAGCAGCUGCGGCUAACUACGUGCCAGCAGCCGCGGUAAUACGUAGGCAGCAAGCGUUGUUCGGAGUUACUGGGCGUAAAG